rnacentral:rRNA from 1 species
UACGGAGGGAGCUAGCGUUGUUCGGAAUUACUGGGCGUAAAGCGCGCGUAGGCGGCUUUGUAAGUUAGAGGUGAAAGCCCGGGGCUCAACCCCGGAACUGCCUUUAAGACUGCAUCGCUUGAAUCCAGGAGAGGUGAGUGGAAUUCCGAGUGUAGAGGUGAAAUUCGUAGAUAUUCGGAAGAACACCGGUGGCGAAGGCGGCCUGCUGGGCAGUAGCUGACACUGAGGCGCGACAGCGUGGGGAGCAAACAGG